ACUACGGGAGGCAGCAGUGAGGAAUUUUCCGCAAUGGGCGAAAGCCUGACGGAGCAAUACCGCGUGAGGGAUGAAGGAUUUUGGUCUGUAAACCUCUUUUCUCAAGAAAGAAGUUCUGACGGUACUUGAGGAAUAAGCAUCGGCUAACUCCGUGCCAGCAGCCGCGGUAAUACGGGGGAUGCAAGCGUUAUCCGGAAUGAUUGGGCGUAAAGCGCCUGUAGGUUGUUUAUUAAGUCCGUUGUUAAAGCCUAGGGCUCAACCCUAGAAAAGCAAUGGAAACUAGUAGACUAGAGUAUGGCAGGGGUAGAGGGAAUUUCUAGUGUAGCGGUGAAAUGCGUAGAUAUUAGAAAGAACACCGGUGGCGAAAGCGCUCUACUGGACCAUUACUGACACUCAGAGGCGAAAGCUAGGGUAGCAAAAGGGAUUAGAUACCCCUGUAGUCCUAGCCGUAAACGAUGGAUACUAGAUGUUGUGCAUUAUGUACAGUAUCGUAGCUAACGCGUUAAGUAUCCCGCCUGGGGAGUACGCUCGCAAGGGUGAAACUCAAAGGAAUUGACGG
rnacentral:rRNA from 1 species